UACGUAGGGGGCUAGCGUUGUCCGGAAUCAUUGGGCGUAAAGCGCGUGUAGGCGGCCCGGUAAGUCCGCUGUGAAAGUCGGGGGCUCAACCCUCGGAUGCCGGUGGAUACUGGAUGGCUUGAGUUCGGGAGAGGGAUGCGGAAUUCCAGGUGUAGCGGUGAAAUGCGUAGAUAUCUGGAGGAACACCGGUGGCGAAGGCGGCAUCCUGGACCGACACUGACGCUGAGGAGCGAAAGCCAGGGGAGCAAACGGG
rnacentral:rRNA from 1 species